AACGAACGCUGGCGGCAGGCCUCAAACAUGCAAGUCUAGGGGGUGUAGCAAUACAUCACCGGCGGACGGGUGCGUAACGCGUGGGAAUAUACCUAUUGGUUCGGAAUAACUGAGGGAAACUUCAGCUAAUACUGAAUGUGCCCUUACGGGGAAAGAUUUAUCGCCAAUGGAUUAGCACGCGUCCGAUUAGCUAGUUGGUGAGGUAACGGCUCACCAAGGCUCCGAUCGGUAGCUGUUCUGAGAGGAAGAACAGCCACACUGGGACUGAGACACGUCCCAGACUCCUACGGGAGGCAGCAGUUGGGAAUCUUGGACAAUGGGGGAAGCCCUGAUCCAGCCAUGCCGCGUGAGUGAUGAAGGCCUUCGGGUUGUAAAACUCUUUCGACGGGGACGAUAAUGACGGUACCCGUAGAAGAAGCUCCGGCUAACUUCGUGCCAGCAGCCGCAGUAACAC
rnacentral:rRNA from 1 species